rnacentral:rRNA from 1 species
GGAGCGAAAUAGAGUAGCGAAGCGUGUGAGCCGGCUGCCGAGAAAAGCCGCUAUUGUUUUAUAUCAGCCCGUACCGUAAACCGACACAGGUGGAUGAGGAGAGAAUCCUAAGGCCGACGGAAGAAGCAUUGUUAAGGAAUUCGGCAAAAUGACCCCGUAACUUCGGGAGAAGGGGUGCCACAGAGAUGUGGCCGCAGAGAAUAGGCUCAAGCAACUGUUUAGCAAAAACACAGGUCUAUGCGAAACCGUAAGGUGAAGUAUAUGGGCUGACGCCUGCCCGGUGCUGGAAGGUUAAGAGGAGAGGUUAGCUUCGGCGAAGCUUUGAAUUCAAGCCCCAGUAAACGGCGGCCGUAACUAUAACGGUCCUAAGGUAGCGAAAUUCCUUGUCGGGUAAGUUCCGACCCGCACGAAAGGCGUAAUGAUUUGAGCACUGUCUCAACAAUGCAUCCGGUGAAAUUGAAGUACCAGUGAAGAUGCUGGUUACCCGCGCCAGGACGGAAAGACCCCAUGGAGCUUUACUCCAGUUUGGUACUGGGAUUCGGUA